AGUCCUGGCACAUUUAAAACCUGCAGUAGUUCCAAAAGAAUCAACCUAUUUCAUUCCUUGAGGGAAUUUCCCAAAUCCCUGGCCUUCUCUGCUUAACCAGAAAGACCCAAGGACGAUGCAGUGUCACUGCUCAACACAGGAACCCUUGUAAACACAACACCCGCAACACGUUUAUCAAGUCGGCUGAUGGUUUCGGUUUCACCGCGAUCAAAAUUAUCAUCAGGCUGGGUGCACCUCUCGCCGCUACCUUUGCAGAAUCUCAAGUAUCUUAUGCAAACUGUGUGCGUUUGUCGGAGAGCUCUUGCAGCGACUGAUGAGUGUCUCAUUAUCUCCACACAAGCCCUACACAGUAAGAAAAGCAUAAUCAAAGCCUGGGGGAUAUUUCAAUUUGAUGCUCAACAAGCUGAGCCUGAGAUUAAAGGAUCAUACGUGUCAUCCACACAAACAUCACUUCCAUAGCAGGCGAGAGUACGUGAGCUCAGCUUUUCCAAGAGAGAGGCGUCACCGCCGCAGACGACGCAGUCGCACUUCUGCCUCCCCGCGUGCGAGGGUGUGUGUGUCCUCUGCGUGCCUGCGAGUGAAGGCUGAUGCGAUGCCUCUCACAUGUUUGAGAUGUCGAGGAAGGAGUCUUUUCUUUUUGCUGUGUGUGUGUGACGAAAUUUGCUUUUAAGAAAUAUUUAUGAGCCGGUGCCCUUUUUUAAAAAAAGAAAAAAGAAAGCGUUGUCUUUAAUGAACAUGUUUUAGAGAUUGUUUCAGCAUCUAUAAUUUAUAAGGUAAGACUUCAUCUGUGAACAGGGCUAGUUUGUAAAUGUGAAUACUUAAUAAUAAUGAAAAAAAAAAUACAUCUCACACAGCUGCUGUACUGGCAUAAUAUGACACUUCUGGAGCAGACAGAUAUUCUCGGUAGAAGGCCGGUGUGUG